UCCAAAUACCAUGGACCAAGGGUGAAGCAGAAACAUAAUAUAACAAAAAGGGCUCUGGAUUCGGUGGGGCAUGAUAUUAUGAUUUAUCUUUUCGAUAUAUAGCUUCAUUAAAGUGAAACAACAAUUUGAAGAUAUUUUGAUUCUGCCACAAUGGCAGAUUCAAUCUAGAGUGAUAUAAUGACUUCAUAUCUCAACUAAUCAUUUCGCUUCAAAGGAGCUCAAUUCAAGCGUUAUUAGAAGCAGAACAUGUUGUGUUCUUCCUAACCAUAUGAAGAAGUUGGUUGACGUUGUCACAUGCACUAUCGAAAAACCAAUGAUUCCAAAAGAAAAACCAAUUGAGGAGGAGAUUUGAAAUCUCAACGCAUGGACAGAGUCAAAUUUCAUAUAUAAGAAUUUAAUUAUGAAUGAACUUACUGACGAAUUAUAUGACUACUA